CCACCAGGACACCUCAGAAGAAAUCAGAGCCAGUCAUGUGGACUCACUGAAAAAACAGUUAGAAGACAGAAUUAGAGAUCUGGAACGUGCACUGGGAAGGACAAAAAGCAACCAAGCAGAAAGACCUUUUCAAAAGGAAUCCACCCAGGCAGAAGUGGAAAAGUACAAAGAGCUGUAUCUGGUGGAAGCCCAAACCAGAAAAAGCCUCGCCAAGAAACUGGAAAGAGCUACUGAGAGACUUGCAGUGGCCAACACCAAGCUCUUUUUGGAGCGCCACAGAAGCAGAUCUGCAGUCCCAAGCAGCGCUGUCAGCGGAGUUCUGGCUGCAAGUCCACUUCUGGAUUCACCUGGCCUGGGACAUGUUGGCAUCAGUUUGGGACUGAGCAGAAGUCUGGCUCUCAGAACACCACCCAGACACCUGUGGUAAAGCCCAAGACUUCUGCUCAUCAGGACAUCCUCUAAGGGACCGUUCAGAUGGAUGGAACGAAUUGCUUCCUUUCCUUAAUUUCGACAUCCACAGCCUAGUAGCCAGUUUCCUUAAUGGUGGCCUUCAAGGUUUG